UAACACGGAACUUGUAAUCUAACACGCUUUUCGUUUACGUUUAUUCGGUUCCACCCAAUCCCAUAUGCACACACAGCCAAGUGCGUAUUUGAGAUAUAGUAAGGUAUGUAAUCGUAUAGGUAGAGCGAUUAGAGCGGGCGACCAUAAACCGGAAACAUUUUACUCUCACACAACCGAAGGCACAACGCGUCGAUGGCUUCCAACUGCCGACUGAGACUGACGGAUUAUAUAUUAGCCGUCAAAAGCUAUUGAAUAUUGGCAACAAUUGGGUAAAUCGAAUCGAAUCGAAUCGAAACAUGUGCGCCCCCGAAAGGGCGUGUCGGCGAGUAAAUACACCGUUUCUUAUCUGCACUUUGCUCGCGUCGGUUAUCGCAGGUUGAAUAAAUGUCUAAAAUGACCAAGUACGAGUACCAAGUAUUUGACCACUCAAUGAGACAGUGAUGUUAUGUACGCGCCAGUACGAGACGACUGCUUUACUUGACUACCAUAGCGCUAAGGUCGUGCCUCGAUCAGUACGUUUCGAUCAUAGUUCAAGCGAUUGAAUGUAUUAAAACUAUAUCUUUGCCAGUCUACUAUAUAGAACAUACAUACAUACAUAUAUGUUAUACAGAAGUUGGUUCCCGUAGAGAAGUGAGAUUGAAGUUUAGCCAAAGUUUCCAAAUUACUUCUAUUCCAUUCAUUAUCCACCCCAUUAUUGGGUUUGGAAUCUCCCACUUGAACAGUCUACAGAAUCUAUCAAUCAAAUGUUCGUACAAUUAUUCCGCAGCAAAGACACAUACUACAUAAGUACAUAUGCUUGGUGAUUAUUCAGUAUCUCGAUCAGACAGAGACAUAUUAAAUCUCUCUGUCUGUAUAAGUCUGACGGAAUUUCCUUGUAUUAUUCCUAGUGGAAACUUACACAUCAGCUCAUCUACAGGCGAAGCGGCAGGGCUUGGGCUGGGGCUAUGGCUGGGGGCAGUAGACAACAUGUAAUCGGAGGAACUUUGACGCUUGUUUUGAUGUUGUU